UUAAGGCACACGAUAGCAAAUGAGCAAUGCUAAUAUUAGCAGCCGUGGCAAUGAACGAACAAUUGUUUUUAUACUUCAAAAGGGCAAACAGUCGAAAUUAUCUUAUGUGAGAUACAAAAAAACUACAAAGCUGAUUCUAAACAAGUUUCGUUUGUCAUCCGUCACCAUAAUAGCAAGUGGACUUUUGAAGCUGAAAUAAUGAGUGGAUUAGCUAUGCUGUUUCAAUCAGCAAGAGAAGAAUCACAGAAAACAAGGAUGUAUUUUACCAACUUUCUUGGCAAGGAGGAUGGAUUAUAUGCGUCACGGCCAGGCACAGGGGAGAAGGCUUCUAAUGUUCCAUUAGAUUUUCACAAGGACUCAGGUUGCGGCAAGUGGACAUGCUACAGGAAGGCAUCACUGGAAGCUCUUCAACACUAACUAAACUUGCUUAUCGUCUUUGCGGAGUCUGCAACUCUGCAGUGAAUGAAUAGAAGAAGACAUGAAAUUGUUUGAUAUAGGCCACAAAACAAAGUAAAAAAAUGGGGGCAGACAGAGCAAUAGGAGGUCAUGGGUGUUUGGAAUGUUUGGUGUCAAAGAGGAGAGCAGAAGACCCAUUUUGAGAGUCGUCAGUCAUCGUUCAGCUCAAUACCUCAUGCCAAUUCUCCAGAGGCAUAUUAGACAAGGAAGCACUGUUGUCUCACAUAGGUGGAGAGACUAUAACAGUCUCAGAGAUGCUGGAUAUAACAAUCUAACUGUGAACCAUAAAGAGGUUUUUGUUGAUCCUCAGACAGGUGCUCACACACAAAACACUGAGAGGUUCUGGGGAGUUUGCAAGGCAGCAGUGUGGAGAUUUAGGGGGAACCACACAGAAAGCAUGCUCAAACAUCACUUAAAGAGCACCUAUUAUGGUUUUUCAAAUAUUACCUUUCAUGUAGUGUGUUAGAUAACUGUUUGUGAAUGUAAAAAAGUCUGCAAAAUUUCGAAAAUCAAGUGCAUGACAAAUGGAGUUAUUGACUCCCAAAAGAAAGAACCGAUUCUGAACACCUGAAACGAGUCGUUAGUAAUUCCAGACUUGUUCUUGAAUUGUAACCUUUUAACUGUGGACCUUGUGUAGGCUGGAGUAAAUUUGCUUUUGCUUUUUUUAAUAUUAUUAUUAUUAGUGUUAGAAAAGCAAAUUUGUUAAUAAAUUGUUUGAAAGUUGACUGUAUUUAUUCAAGAUGUCUCUCACUUCUGCAGUUUGUUCUUCUGUUUUGUCAUAAAAAAUAAACAUUGAUU